rnacentral:lncRNA from 1 species
ACAGAUAAGAAUGGUGGCUGGAAAGGUCCCCUGCUUCUAAGUAAAGCAAUCAACUGCUCCUCUAUAUAGAAGAGAUAGUUGCUUAAGCUACCUAGGGUCAACCUUAACUUUAUGCACUAGGAACUUAGUUUUGAUAAUGAUAUAAUGGUGGCCGAAGUAUCUAGUUUGCUGCAAUAAUUUAAGGCACCUUCAAGAAUGCUGUGGAUG